UACGAAGGGGGCUAGCGUUGUUCGGAUUUACUGGGCGUAAAGCGCACGUAGGCGGACUAUUAAGUCAGGGGUGAAAUCCCGGGGCUCAACCCCGGAACUGCCUUUGAUACUGGUAGUCUUGAGUUCGAGAGAGGUGAGUGGAAUUCCGAGUGUAGAGGUGAAAUUCGUAGAUAUUCGGAAGAACACCAGUGGCGAAGGCGACUCGCUGGACAGACAUUGACGCUGAGGUGACGAAAGCGUGGGGAGCAAACAGG
rnacentral:rRNA from 1 species